UACGGAGGGUGCGAGCGUUGUCCGGAAUCAUUGGGCGUAAAGGGCGCGUAGGUGGCCCGGUCAGCGUGCGGUGAAAGCUCGGGGCUCAACCCCGAGUCGGCCGUGCGAACUGCUGGGCUUGAGCACUGUAGAGGCAGGCGGAAUUCCGGGUGUAGCGGUGGAAUGCGUAGAGAUCCGGAAGAACACCGGUGGCGAAGGCGGGUCUCUGGACAGUUCCUGACACUGAGGCACGAAGGCCAGGGGAGCAAACGGG
rnacentral:rRNA from 1 species